UAUCUCUGUAGAGUCUGCAUAUCAAUAAGCGGAGGAAAAGAAACUAACUAGGAUUCCCUUAGUAACGGCGAGUGAAGCGGGAAGAGCUCAAAUUUGAAAUCUUCAAGGUUCUACCUUGACGAAUUGUAGUUUAAAGAAGUGUUUUCUGUUAGUAGAGUGGCAAAAGUUCUUUGGAAUAGGACAUCAUAGAGGGUGAGAAUCCCGUAUUUGGUCAUUCCUCCUAGCGUUGUGAUACACUUUCAAAGAGUCGGAUUGUUUGGGAAUGCAGUCCAAAAUGGGUGGUAAAUUUCAUCUAAAGCUAAAUACUGGCGAGAGACCGAUAGCGAACAAGUACCGUGAGGGAAAGAUGAAAAGAACUUUGAAAAGAGAGUUAAACAGUACGUGAAAUUGUCAAAAGGGAAGCGUUUGACACCAGUGUUGUAUUCUCGAAAAUCAAUUAAAAAUGGCAGGAUUUUGUGUUGUAUUGACUUUAUCAGCUUUCUGCACUUUUUUCUUGUCUUUUUUAAUGCACUUUUCGUUUAACAAGUCAACAUCAGUUUCUUUUGUUGUAAAAGGGUCAUUGGAAGGUGGCUUUCUUUUCGGAGAAAGUGUUUAUAGCCUUUGAUCUCUGCAACCGGAGAGACUGAGGUCUGCAGCGUAGACUCUUCGGGGUUAGAUACAUUUGUGCUAAGCUAUAGCUUUUUAUAGACAACUUGUUGACUAUAUUUAGUCUUGUGGCUUACUCGCUUAUGCUAUUUUACCUACGCUUAGGAUGUUGACGCAUGAGAUAUACGC
rnacentral:rRNA from 1 species